GUUCCACCAUUUCAGAGGGUAGCAUAUGAUCAAGAACCAACGAUACUAAAGGAAGAAGUCCAAGCUGCACUGAAGGCAUUGGUGAAAAAUAAGGCUUCAGGAACUGAUGGAAUACCAAUUGAGAUGUUUCAACAAAGGGAUUCAGUGCUGGAAGUGGUCACUUGUCUAUACAAGAAAUUUGGAAGACAGCUACCUGGCCAACUGACCAGAAGAGCUCCAUACACAUGCCCAUUCCAAAAAAGGUGAUCCAACAGGAAUGCAGACUCUGGUUUAGACACUGCUUAUCUUCCCACCAAUGUCUGGAUGUGCAGGUGCGUGAGUGCGCUUGCGCAUACACACAUGCACACACUCCUCUUGCUUCUCUCUUUAAGGCCUGGGAGAAAGCUGCCUCAAGAUUGGAGUUUGGACAUGGUGACUCUGAUUUGGCCUGGACCAGCAAUUUCAUGGCUUUUGAACAGCCUUGGUACUUGAGGAGUGGCUUCAGGCAGCUCCAGGAGACCCUCAGCACCCUCUCCUUUGCAAGGAAGCAGACCUCACCUCUUCCAGAUCAGGUCCGUAGCUGUCACCUGCUAAUGACUUCCAGAACUUUCUCUGCCAAUCCCUGCCAGUGAGUGGCACGGCUCAGAGUAGGCCUCAGAUCUGCAAGAUGCUCUGCAGUCCACUGAGGACCCUCCCACACCCAUCUCCCAACCCAGCUGCUGGGGAGAUAGAAGUCACUCAGCAAGAGCACACCGGUCAUAGCCCUUUUCUCCUUUCUGGUCUGUCUUAGUUAGCUAGUGCUGCUACAACAGAAAUACCACAAGUGGAUGGCUUUAAUAAAGGGAUAUUUAUUCUCUCACAGUCCAGGAGGCUAGAAGUUGGAAUUCAUAGUGCCAGCUCCAGGGGAAGUCUUUUCUCUCUGUGGGCUCCGGUGAAGUAGAUUCUGAGCUCAGGGACCCAGGUCCAAAGGAUGCACUCUGCUCCCAGUGCUUCUUUCUUGGUGGUAUGAGGUCCCCUCUUUUUUGUGUCCCUUCUCUCUUUUAUAUCUCAAAAGAGAUUGACUUAAAACACAGCCUAAUCUUGUAGAUUGAGUCCUACCUCAUUAACAUAACUACCUCUAAUCCUGCCUCAUUAACAUCAUUGAGGCAGGAUUUACAACACAAAGGAAAAUCACAUUAGAUGACAAAAUGGUGGACAAUCACACAAUAUGGGGACUCAUGGCCCAGCCAAACUGACACACAUUUUAGGGGAACACAAUUUAACCCAUAACACUGUCCCUCAGGUCACUAAGUUCAAUGCCUGUCAGACUUUUCUGAGAAGCAGACUCCUUUUCCAAGCAAAAUUUGACAGGACACCAGGCCCCAGUGCAUACGACAGAGAAAAGCUGCACUCUACUAGUUUAUGUUUCUUUUCUAAGUUCACCUCUCCAGCAUGUUACCAUAUAUUGCUUAUAAAAUCAGAACACGAGUGGGCUCCGAUGUGUGAAAAUCAUGUAUCACUUCUAAACGCGUGUGGUGCUUUUUAUUACAAGUGUUCAAGUAGCCUGAAGCGUAUUUUGGAAAUUUGAAUUGAGCAUUGGCAAAAGCCAUGGCGCCCCCCUGAAAAAAUUCCAGGAUUUUGUUUAGCACAGUUUGAGCCCCCUGGAAAAUUCCCACUUUUUUAUUGGACAACGAAGACUGAGCCCCAGGUGGGAGGAAGGGCUGGCCACAGCAAUGAAACCUGGGUCCUCACCCUGGCCUUACAGUCAGAUGGUCUCCUCGAAGGGGUGGGGGCCAUCUCAGAUGGCUCUGUCAUUGGCCCACUUGGUAUUGGAUGACAAAGACUGCAUGUGGCUCUCAGGGUCAGUGGUUAGGAGGGUGGUGGUGGUGAGGGAAAAAGCCAGGUCCCAAGGCUUAGGGUGAAGGGGUUAGAAAGUCCGUGGCCCCCAUUUGGGGGCAGAAAGGGAGGAUAGCAGAAAGAUUUGGGUUGUCUCAUUUUUGGCUGCUCGGCUCUUGGUCCAAACAAAUUCUCCCUCUGAAAACAACAUGAUAAAGAUUUUCUCUCUGGCUAGCAGCCUCCUGGGCUAUGCCAGAGUCCAGUCCCUGUUUGUCCACAAAGAGGACCCCUAAGGCAAGAGGGAAUAAAUGACACAGUGGUUAAGAGCUUGGCUGCUAACCGAAAGGUAAGCAGUUCAAACCCACCAGCCGCUCUGCAAGAGAAAGAUGUGGCCAUCAGCUUCCGUAAAGGUUUACGGCCUUGAAAACCCUACUGGGGAGUCCUACUCUGUCCUAUAGGGUUAAAAAAAAAAAAAAAACUGAGUCUAAAUUGACUUGACGGCAAUGGGUUUAACACCUCUGGGUUUAAACACCUUGGGCCUUGGGCCAAGCCCUGGGUGUCCUAGUGAGUGGAAAAGCCUGGUCAUGGUCAUCUUUCCCAGCCUGUCCUGCCCCACCACGCCCUGAGCACGUGCCAUGUGCCACCACUGCUUCUUCCUCCAGAGCAGCUGCCAAGGUGCUGAGUCACUGGCUUGUUGUCAUCUGGCAUUCCCUGCUCUGGGAAGGAGGUGCCCAGCCAGGGUGUGGUAAAGUGUCCAGUGCAAACAGGCCUGGGGAGACCCACCUGCUCAGAAAGGUGCUCUUUCCCAUGGGGAAGGGGCUGCCUGCUGAGUAGGGGGACCCUACCCCAACCUUAGCCUAGGCUCCCUUCCAGGGACCAUGUCAUGGGGCCACAAGGCACAAGGGUCUUCCUUUACACAGAGUCCAGGCUCCAGGUGAAUAAACAGAGAGGGGUCUUAUUAGCUUCUCUCCUCUGCCUCCCAGGAAGUUUCCAUCAGAAGGGAGGUAGAAAGAAGGCCUCAGAAUGUGCUACAAAUUCCUGGAAGGCCCUCCCACUUAUUAGCUGUGGGCUCCACAGUGCGGCACUUAGAUUAUGUUUUUUAAGUUUUUUUUUUUUUCUUUUUUUAAAGUGCAUGCAGUUUAUUUUCUCUUAAAAACUGAACAGAAGCCUUGGGAUCCUCUUUACCCAGCUCCACUGUCCACCAGUAAGCCUUCCCAGAAACAACAGCUGGUAAUAGUUUGGGGAUAUCCUUCCAAAGAUAGUCUAUACGUAUUGUUGUUGUUGUUAGGUGUCCUCAAGUCGAUUCUGACUCAUAGUGACCUCAUGUACAACAGAAUGAAACACUGCCCAGUCCUGCACCAUCCUCACAAUCGUUGUUAUGCUUGAGCCCACUGUUUCAAUCCAUCUUUUUGAGGGUCUUCCUCUUUUCCGCUGACCUUCUACUUUACCAAGCAAUUCUAUGCAUACGUAAUGUUAUGAACUGAACUGUGUCCCCCGCAAAACAUUUAUCAAUUUGGCUAGACCAAGAUUUCCAGUAUUGUCUGAUUGUCCACCAUUUUGUCAUCUGAUGUGAUUUUCCCGUGUUUAAAUCCUAUCUCUAUGAUGUUGAUGAGGCAGGAUUAGAGGCAGUUAUGUUAAUGAGGCAGGACUCAACCUACAAAAUUAGGUUGUAUCUUGAGUCAAUCUCUUUUGAAAUAUAAAAGAGAGAAGGGAGCAGAGAGACAAGGGGACCACAUACCACCAAGAAAGAAGCACUGGGAGCAUGGUGCAUCCUUUGGACCUGGAGUCCCUGCACUAAGAAGCUCUUAGACCAGGGGAAGAUUGAUGACAAGGACCUUCCCUCAGAGCUGACAGAGACAGAAAGCCUUCCCCUAGAGCUGGCACCCUGAAUUCGGACUUCUAGCCUCUUAGACUGUGAGAGAAUAAAUCUCUCUUUCUUUAAGCCAUCCACUUGUGGUAUUUCUGUUGUAGCAGCACUAGAUAACUAAGUCACAUAAGUAUAAUAUAUAAUGUGUAUAUGUGUAUCUGUUCUUUUAUUUCUUACCUAAGUAUGAACAUAGUGUGCACAUUUUUCUGGAUCUGUUAUUUUUAUUUUUUAUGAUAAUGACAGAUUUUGGAGAUGGCUGCAGGCAAGGCACUAGGCCUUCACUGAAGGACAUCUGUUGUAACUCCAGCCUUUUCUCCUUUAAUGAAUAGUCAAGUAAGUGUGCCUGUUUUAACUCUAUUCUGCUGCAUUUCUAGUGGGCCCCAGUAUACCCAGGACAGUGGGGAGGGGACUUCAGGGGACAAGAAUAUCAAAGCACAUGAGCAAAUGCUGGCUUUCAAGCAGGGAGGGCAAUCCCACCAUGUUCUUUUAAGGAGGCCUCAAGUGAACAAUGCUACUGAAGAGGUUUAAAGAAGUGGGCAAGGUGGAUGAACAAGAUUUAUUUCUGAAAUUAUUUUAACAAGUUCUAUUAUGAUUAUAAAGUUCAGAGAAGAACACGCUUGGCAUUUCUCAAGCUGAAAGAACUGAAGAAUAAUUUCAAGCCUCAUGUGGCAAUAUUGAAGGAUUCUACAGGGAAAAUACUAAACAACACAGGAAGCAUCAAAAGAAGAUGGAAGGAAAACACAGAGUCACUAUACCAAAAAGAAUUGGUGGACAUUCAACCAUUCCAGAAGGUAGCAUAUAGGAGGAACCAACGGUACUGAAGGAAGAAAUCCAAGCUGCAUUGAAGGCAUUGGAGAAAAACAAGGCUCCAGGAAUUGGUGGAAUAUGAAUUGAUAUGUUUCAGCAAAUGGACGCAGUGCUGGAAGUGCUUACUCAUCUAUGCUAAGAAAUUUGGAAGACAGCUACCUGGCCAAUCAGCUGAAAGAGAUCCAUAUUUAUGCUUAUUCUCAAGAAAGGGGAUCCAACUGAAUGCGGAAAUUGGCGAACAAUAUCAUUAAUAUCACACACAAGCAAAAUGUUGCUGAAGAUCAUUCAAAAGCAGCUGAAGCAGUACAUCAACAGGGAACAGCCAGAAAUUCAAACCAGAUUCAGAAGGGGACAUGGAACAAUGGAUGUCAUUGCUGAUGUCAGAUGAAUCCUGGCUGAAAGCAGAGAAUACCAGAAGGGUGUUUACCUGUGUUUUAUUGACUAUGCAGAGGCAUUCAACUGUGUGGAUCAUAACAAAUUAUAGAUAACAUUGCAAAGAAUGGGAAUUCCAGAACACUUAAUUGUGCUCAUGAGGAACCUGCACAUAAAUUAAGAAGCAGUCGUUCAAACAGAACGAGGGGAUACUGAGUGGUUUAAAGUCAGGAAAGGUGUGCGUCAGGGUUGUAUCCAUUCACCAUACUUAUUCAAUCUGUAUGCUGAGCAAACAAUUCAAGAAGCUGGACUGUAGGGCAUCAGGAUUGGAGGAAGACUCAUUAGAUCACCUGCAUUAUGCAGAUGACACAACCUUUCUUGCUGAAAGUGAAGAGGACUUGAAGCACUUACUGAUGAAUAUCAGAGACCACAGCCUUCAGUAUGGAUUACACACCAACAUAAAGAAAAGAAAAAUCUUCGCAACAUCAAGAUAAAUGGAGAAAAGAUUGAAGUUUUCAAGGAUUUCAUUUUACUUGGAUCCACAAUCCACAGCCAUGAAAACAGCAGUCAAGAAAUCAAAUGAUGCAUUGCAUUGGGCAAAUCUGCUGCAAAAGAUCUCUUUGAAUUGUUCCAAAGCAAAGAUGUCACCUUGAAGACUAAGGUGCACCUGACCCUAGCCAAGGUGUUUUCAAUCACCUCAUAUGCAUGUGAAAGCUGGACAAUGAAUAAGGAAGACCUAAGAAGAAUUGAUGGCUUUGAAUUGCGGUGUUGGCGAAGAAUAUUGAAUAUACCAUGGACUGCCAAAAGAACGAACAAAUGUGUCUUGGAAGAAGUACAACCAGAAUGCUCCUUAGAAACAAGGACGGAGAGACUACGUCUCACAUACUUUGGGCAUGUUAUCAGGAGGGAUCAGUCUCUGGAGAAAAACAUCAUGCUUGCUAAAGCAGAGGGUCAGCGAGAAAGAGGACGACCCCCAAGGAGAUGGGUUGACACAGUGACUGGAACAAUGGGCUCAAGCAUAACAAUGAUGCAGGGCCAGGCAAUGUUUCAUUCUGUUGUACACCCUCCCUAUGAGUUGGAACUGACUCAACAGCACCUGACAACAACAACUUAUUAUAGGAAAUUUGGAAAAAGCACUGAAGAGAUGUGAAAAUAAAAGUCAAGGGGAAGCCUACUUAUUUGGAGGUAAUCACUAUUGAUAUUUAGUACAUUUCCUGCCAGGUUAUUUUCUAGAUACAAAGGAUUUCUGGUGGUCAAAGGGGACACGAAAGAAGGGCAUCCAGGGAGGUUCACCUGUGAGCAAAGGCAGGACUGCAGGGAGUCCUAGACCCUGAGAAAACAGUGAGUACAAAGCAGGAGGAUUUUAGGGGGCCACCUUACAGGUGAGCCUGGGGGUGGCAGGGAAGAAUUUGCCCCUAAUUUGGUGGGCACUGGGGAGCCACUACAGGCAUGUGGGCACAGAAGUGGAAGAUCAGCCUAGUGAGAGAUCCAAGGAGUCUGGCUUUGAUCUUUUGAGUGGAUAUUUAAGAAGAAAUACUAUCAGGCCUUUGUAAGAGCAGGUAUUGAGUUCCAGACAAAGGUUACCUCUAAAAACAUUAACUUGGGAGUUGUAAGAACAGAGAUUAGCCUGAGUGUGAAUGAGAUGGCUAAGAGAAAGGUGUGGCUUUAGGGCUGAGAGCACAGACUUGGCCUUAGGAAGGUCUUGGUCAUGUUCCAAAGAUACCACUUACCAACUGUGUGGUGCUGAGUAGAAGUAAACUUAUCCUCGCUGGGUCUCAGAUUCUCCAUCUGCAAAGGAUGGACGAUGAUAAGAAUCAUACGUACAUGAGUCAGUAUAAGGAUUAUAUGAGGUGAUGCAAAUAAGAGCCUAGCAUGGUGCUGGGCACACAGAAAGCAUUCAGUAAGUGUUGAGAGAAUAUAGACUGAAAGCAAAGAAAAGGCUGCAGAUAGAACGGUACCAGAAGUUGCUGGGAGGAAGAGACACCAUUAAAGUUUCCAGAAGAGAGCAGUUUUCAAGAUGUGAAGAGAGCUGUCCCUGCAAGAACAGUUCCUGGGGCUUCAGGAAGGAAGAGCUGGCCACAGUGCUAACCCUGCCUGGGAGCCAAGGAAGGACUCAGGACCUGGAAGGUUCUUGGUGGGUGGCGACUUCAGAGUCAUUGCUGUGGCAAUGUGGAGUGGAAGCCAGGGCCUAAGAGGUCAAGAGGUGGUGGGAAAAGAGGAAGUCAGUGGGGUGAGUUUUACAAGUCUUUAAAGAAGUUUGGCAGUGAAAGGAAAGGGGAAGGUCCUAGCUCUGGGGAAAGGUUGUAGGGAAGACAGAACAAGGAAUUUUGUUUUGUUUGGGUGAGAGAAUAUUUGAACACGUUUAUAGAUUGAGAAGAAGAAAUCAAUAGAAGUUCUCAAAGAGAAGAAGUGACUAAAGGUGAACUUCAGUGUCUUCAUUCUAAAAGUCAGGGUGUGAAUAAGUGAUCUCAGGUUGUGUUGUAUUUUUUAGCUAUUUGGCCCAUCUGUGUAUCUAUCUGUCUAUCUGUCUGUCUGUCAAUCCAUCUGUCCAUCCAUUCAUCCAUCUACCCAACCACCCAUCCUAUCAACACACACUCUCUAUAGAUGUCUGACCUGGACUAAGUCCAAAGAAGAGAGUGUUGGGGUGAAGGGGGAAGAGAGAGGAGUGGAGAGAGGUACAGAAGUAGAUCCUUCCAGGGGCAUGUGUUUAACAGGAAAAGUAGAGAGGACAAUCAGGCAGUGGCUUAACAACAUCACAAAAUGACCUCAAAACCCAUGUCCUUGUAGCCCUUUGUUAUCACAUUCUAACACUUACCCAAACCUCUGUCCCCGGUCCCUGGUUUGUGACCCCCAGCCUCUGACCUGCUUUUGUCUUAUUAUGAACAUCCCCUAUACUCAGCACUGUGCUGGGCCCACGGUAAGCAAUCACUGAAUUUGUAUUUCUUAUAUCCACUCAUUCAACAAGCAUUUAUUGAGCAUGUACCAUGUGCCAGACACUGAGGAACAAGAGUUAGCAAAACAGAUCCCUGACUUCAUUGAACCAGCUGGGGAGCAAGACCAUUGAAGAGUCACUAUAUAAAUUUAAAAUUGUAGCUGUCAUAGGAAAGAGUAAGGGUUUUUCACAGCUGGACAGGAACAGAGAAGGCCUCCUGGAAGAAGAAACUUGGGCUCUGAAAGAGGAGCAGAUGUUUACCAGGUGAAAGCAUACCAGCUGGAGCAUAGCCAUGCAAAGGCAGGGAGGGAGGACAGGAGUGUGAAAGAAAGGCAGUGUAGCCAGGCCAGGGAUAGGCUCUAGACAACAUGGGAGAGGCCAACAAGGCCUUGUAGACAAGGUAAGGACUUGACUUGUUCUUUAUCUUGAAAACAGUGGGAGGCCAUGGGAGUGGUUUAAGCAUGAAGAUGACAUGGUCAUUGUUUUGGUGCAAAGAGAUCACUGGGAAGAAGCAAGUUGCCGUUAGCAGUGCAGUUUGAGCCUCUUGUACAAUGCUGUGUAUCUGGAACUGGGAAGGGGCUGGCUUUCAUCUUCUAUUUCAGACAUUUCCGUAAUUUUUUUUUUAAGUAAUGAACCUGUUCUGCCUUUGUUAUCAGAAAAAGAAAGUACUAAAAAUUAUACAACUGCAGAAGAGAUUGGGAGCCAGUGAGGGACCCCUGCGAGCCCUGAAUGGUAUGAAUUGUACCCAAUACAGACAGACAGGCUGAGUGUGAUGGAGCUGGGCUCUGGAGCUGGGCUCUGGAGCUGGCUGUUAGCUGGUUUGGGGGUCCACUGGACUCUUUCCACCCCCAUGGGGCCUCUCCCAGGUUGUUUGGGCUAACAGCCCCAAAGGAGGUGCUCUCUGUGCCUGGGUAGCCCACUCCUCCAGGAAAAGUGUGAGGAAAGGAAAGAGGCUGUAGGCCUGAGAAGGAGGCCAUGUUUCCUGACCAUUGUUUUGAGCACAAAGGCUAAGGAGCAGUCUCCCAACUAGCUCACUUCUCCCUUGGUGCAAGCCUUGGGAAAUGGGGCUUCUCCCUGGGGGAUCAUUGUUCUCAGUCUCCAGCAAGGGCUAGGCCCAAGGGGAGUGUUUUGUUGACAGUGCUCAGCAACCAGGGCUGGGUUUUAACGGGAAGUCAAGUCCCCUGGAGAAAGGCCGUGCCUGAAAAAUCCCCAGCUUUCAUGGCACAGAGGGCAGACUGAUGGAGCCUAGGGUGUCUUCCCUUAGCUGCCUUCCCUUCAGGCAGGCUCUUCCAGAGGGUCUUUGCUUCUUUUUCCAGGGGACAGGCUGACCUCAUGGUCCUGGGUAGGGAAGGUCCUUCCCACCACUCUGAUCUAUUCUGCUAUGGGAUUUUUAAGAAGUCACCAGAAUUGCCCACCAAAGAGUGAGAAGGCCCAGGACCUGUGAGUUUUGAUGAUUGGGGGAUGGAGGGGCCAGGCUGCCUGUAAUGCUCAGUGGCCGUGUGUGGAGGGGAGAAAAGGCUUCAGUAGCCUGGCUAAGGAACCUCAGGUCUGGGCCUUCCUGGGAGUAGAGUCUGUGUUCACUGGAGCUGCGCCACUCUGGGAAGACAGGAACAUCUGGAGAGAUUGUAGAGCUGUUUCCAAAACAGAGAGCCUCAGCCCAAAUCUCAGAUUGUAGAAAGACAGUAGAAGUUUAGAAGUCUGAAAUAUUUUGUUUCAUGCCCAGACCUGCCUCUGUUUCCUCACCUGGAAGAUGGAAAUGAAGCUGCCUCUGUCUCAGAGCAUGGCUACUGGGAUUGAACAGGGUAACCUAGCAAAAGCCCAGCACAUAGCUCCCCUCCCCCACUUCUGUGACCUAUUUCCACAUCCCACUCCUUCCUCACUACUUCCCCUGCGUUUGGAGAUCCAGAUUCUAACUGAGAGCCAAGGGGGCAGGCUUGGGUAGGCCUCGUCCCUCUCUGAGUCUCUCAGUUUCCUCAUCUUACGAAACUGGGAGCUUUGUGGAAAGCCUGGAGGCAGGAGAUAGUUGUUUUUGCCUUAUAGGAAGUGGAGAUGCAACACAAAGACUCCAGCACCGGCUGAAAAGAUGACUCGCACUCUAAGAACCCAAGUAGCAAACACCAUCUUGUUCCCUCGCAAAUGAGGGUUAGAUGAUUUCAGCCACUCACAGGAGAUGUCCGAUCGCUUCAUCCUGGCCCAGAUUAGACAUUUACUAGGAGGAGUGGCUGGUUAGUGGGAGGAGGUUGGAUGGGAGUUAGGGAAGCCAGUGAGGGUCAUCUGCCAGGGGUCAAAGGGCCAGAGAGGUCGCUGAUGAGAAACUCCUGAACUGUUUUCCCCAUCUUUGCUCUGUUGAAACCAUUUUCUAGCACUCUGUUCUACAAAAUACUAGCACAAAUAUAAAAAAACAUACAUACCCAUGAGCAUACUCUUCACAAGAUUGCUUGUCUUGGCAGGAAGGAACCCAAAUGUCCAUCAAUAAAGAACUGAUUAAAACAAACAAAUGCAUACAACAUGCUGCCAAAGGCAUCCAGAUCUACCGAGACAGUAGCCCACGAUACAUUAUUAUGUGAAAAAGCAAGAAGCAAGAUUGUCUAUAUGGUAGGAUCUCAUUUUAUUACUACACAUGUUUUGUCUUAUAACUGAAUAUAGUGUAUGACAUAAUUACACACACACAUUUUAUUAGUAUAGAAAAUAAAAGCUUGGAAGGAUACAUACCAAACUUAACAGAGGUGACCUUUGGUGUGGAAAAGAUUUUUAAAUUUUCUUUUAUAUACUUCUGCACUGCUUGAAUGUCAUAAAAUCAUCCAUUGCUGUCAAGUCAAUUCCUACUCAUAAUGACCCUGAAGGAGAGAGUAGAGCUGCCCCACAGGGUUUCCAAGACAAUAAUCUUUACGAAAGCAGUCUGCCAUAUCUACAAAGUGGCUGGUGGGUUCAAACCACUGACUUUUUAGUUAGCAGCUGAGUGCUUAACCACUGCCACACCAGGGCUUCUGUCUUAAAAUUAGCACAUAUUAUAACUAAUUUAACACCCACUUCCCAAAUAAGCAAGAAAGAAACUGGAGAGGUCAAAUGGUCAACCUUCUUGGAGUAACCAGAGGAUCUGAGAUGAAUGUGACAAACAUCCAUGUUGCAGGAUGGAUGCCUCACAUGCAAUACAAAUGAAUGAAGCAAUAGAUCAUGAAAACAGUGGUGGGGGGACUGCUCCCUUUCCCUGGUGACCAGGGAUCCUGCCAGCCACACCCUGAUCCUCCAGUGUGGGCUGAGGCCCUCUGCAGUGUUCAGAAACCAACUUUGCUCCUCGGAGAAGGUGGCACAUGUGAGCUGGGUUCUUCAGGAGACAUGCCAAGUGACUAUUAACCACUUUGCAAACCCUGGAUGCUUUUGAAGCAUGCUGUUUCUUCAUUCUUGGCUACUCACUUAAGGAGCCCUUACUAAUGUUAGACAUAAUCAAUACUUGAAGAAAUUGAAGCAUGAGUUUUAUUUUGAGUAGUUAUUCUAUAUGCAUAUAGGGAGACCAUUCUGAUUCCAAAAAAAAAAAAAAAAAAGCAAA